GAUGAACGCUAGCUACAGGCUUAACACAUGCAAGUCGAGGGGAAACGACAUCGAAAGCUUGCUUUUGAUGGGCGUCGACCGGCGCACGGGUGAGUAACGCGUAUCCAACCUGCCCAUCACUUGGGGAUAACCUUGCGAAAGUAAGACUAAUACCCAAUGAUAUCUCUAGAAGACAUCUGAAAGAGAUUAAAGAUUUAUCGGUGAUGGAUGGGGAUGCGUCUGAUUAGCUUGUUGGCGGGGUAACGGCCCACCAAGGCAACGAUCAGUAGGGGUUCUGAGAGGAAGGACCCCAACAUUGGAACUGAGACACGGUCCAAACUCCUACGGGAGGCAGAAGUGAGGAAUAUUGGUCAAUGGGCGAGAGCCUGAACCAGCCAAGUAGCGUGCAGGAAGACGGCCCUAUGGGUUGUAAACUGCUUUUAUAAGGGAAUAAAGUGAGAGUCGUGACUCUUUUUGUAUGUACCUUAUGAAUAAGGACCGGCUAAUUCCGUG
rnacentral:rRNA from 1 species